AUGCAAAUCAUUUCACAAACAUUUUAGCUAUCUACGAUUGUUUGAUUGCUAACGGUAGCUCAAAACACCAUUCAA